AACAAGCCUCCGGUUGAUAAAUAGGCGCGCAUGCAGCUUUCAUGAAGGAGGAUGGAGAUAGAGAAGAGGACGAAUGGGUUCGAUUACCCAGAGAGAAACAACACUAAGUCCGACGGCUUCUAUGGUGAUCAUCCCUUGGAAGCCGAACAGAAGAAUGGAUUAGGUGAGUGGGCAUGUUAUAUCUUAUCAAUGUUAUAUCUUAUAUAUAACAUUAUCAAUGUGCUUUCCUGUCUGCAUAUCGCCUUUGUUGUUCUUCAGAAUUCAUUGAGAACAACCUGUUCCAGAUAGUGUGCCUUGUGACUGGUGACAUUAAGGUUGUUCAUUGUCAAAUGUUGGGCCUGUAACAUUCCCCCAGCAGCUGGACAGUGGGGACGGCAACUUACCUUAUGUCACAGACAAUUACCGCAUGACACGGACAUUUACUGUACUACACGGACACUUAUUGUAUGACAUAGACACUUACCGUAUAACACGGAUGCUUACCGUAUAACACGGACGCUUAUCGUAUAACACGGACGCUUACCGUAUAACACGGAUGCUUACCGUAUAACACGGAUGCUUACCGUAUAACACAGAUGCUUCUGUAUGACACAGACGUUUACCGUAUGAUGGCCACUGAAUGCAAAUAUGAAAGUUGGAUAAAUAGCCCUCUCUAGUGGUGAGGGGCAAGGUGUUCAUCAGCCUGGAUGUAAUGCUUGCCCCAGUUUCUGCAUGAACAGUAAUCACUAAACAUAUUGUGUUUACAGUUUUUCUCCAUUGGUUUGGCUCAUUUCUUGAAACAGAAAUUACAUUCUCAAAAGAUCAUUGGGCAAAACAUUCUUACAGUUCAGCACAACACUUUUGCUCACUUGCAAAAGCUCAUACCAUACCAUACCAUCUUCUUCCGCUUAUCCGGGGGCCGGGUCGCGGGGGCAGCAGUCUAAGCAGGGAUGCCCAGACUUCCCUCUCCCCAGACACUUCCUCCAGCUCUUCCGGGGGGACACAGAGGCGUUCCCAGGCCAGCCGGGAGACAUAGUCCCUCUAGCGUGUCCUAGGUCUUCCCCGGGGUCUCCUCCCGGUGGGACGGGACCGGAACAACUUCCCAGGAAGGCGUUCCGGAGGCAUCCGAAACAGAUGCCCAAGCCACCUCAGCUGACCCCUCUCGAUGUGGAGGAGCAGCGGCUCUACUCUGAGCUCCUCCCGGGUGACCGAGCUUCUCACCCUAUCUCUAAGGGAUCGCCCGGAUCUCUCCCAAAACAGUUCACUCAUGUGUCAAAACUAAAUUUCCUUCUCAUUUAAACAGUCAGUGCCCCAAAAAUGCUUCGUCCCUUUGGCAUUGUGUAAGCACUGCAAGUCAAAAUGCUUAGAUGUUUUGUCACUAUGGCAGAGGACCAUUGAAAUAUCCCUCAUGUCCACCUUUCAGUCUUAGCCCAGUCCUUCAUUGACAAUGUUUACUGUACUGGUUUUUGUCUAGCUAACAGAAUACAAUUGUGUAUAAAACUGAAAAAAAAAAACACAUCACACAUUGCACUCAUACUGCCAAGGAAAUUGUAACCAUUAUCAUUCACACACAUACGUAACUUCCAUACAUCAGAGUAAAAAGAAAAUGUAUACAGCAUAAUAUACUGUAAUAUAAACACACAAACAAAAAAACGUGAAAAUUAUUGGCAACUGUGGCCUGGUGGCCAAUAAUAUUACGGCCAUGUCUUCGGCCCUUGGCCAGGUUGAAGCCAGCUUCAUCCACAGACACGAGGAUGUGAUUGGUCUCGUUUCAUUCCAAUGCCAUUAUUCUCUACAACAGCGUAAAAAAAUAAAACAUCAAAUCAGUCAUACAGAAGAGUCAUACACUACAGUUACAGACAAUUACAUAGGAAUGUACAUAGGAAUGUUAUACCUUAUGUAUUCCUUACAGAAUGAGUUACCUAUGUAAUUGUAUUGUUGUUUUACUUACAGUAACCACAAUCCAAAUGCAUCACUGCGCAGUGACUGGAAUACUACUGUAAACUGUAUCAUCAAUACUGUAGAAAAUAAACGAUUCCAUAGUUUAUUUUCUCCAAUGUUUUUCUUGUCAUUUUUAGUAUCAUAACAUCCCAUUGAGGGAAGAUAUUACUGUAGGUCUAUCGCGCACACACACACACACACACACACACACACACACACACACACACACACACACACUAAAUGAAUAGGCAAAUGUGUA
ensembl:lncRNA